rnacentral:rRNA from 1 species
AGCAGCCGCGGUAAUUCCAGCUCCAAUAGCGUAUAUUAAAGUUGUUGCAGUUAAAAAGCUCGUAGUUGAAUUUCGGGAUUUGUCAGUUGGUCGGGCUUCACUGUCCGUAUUGACUUGAUGGAUUCUUACCUUCUGAAUAACCAGCAUGCUAUUAAGUUAGUGCGUUGGGGAAGCAGAUCUAUUACCUUGAAAAAAUUAGAGUGCUUAAAGCGAGCUAGUGCUUGAAUAGAUUAGCAUGGAAUAAUAAAAUAGGACGGCAUGGUUCUAUUUUGUUGGUUUCUAGGAUCACCGUAAUGAUUAAUAGGGAUAGUUGGGGGCAUUAGUAUUCAAUUGUCAGAGGUGAAAUUCUUGGAUUUAUUGAAGACUAACUUCUGCGAAAGCAUUUGCCAAGGAUGUUUUCAUUAAUCAAGAACGAAAGUUAGGGGAUCGAAGACGAUCAGAUACCGUCGUAGUCUUAACCAUAAACUAUGCCGACU